GACGAACGCUGGCGGCGUGCUUAACACAUGCAAGUCGAGCGGAAAGGCCCUUUCGGGGGUACUCGAGCGGCGAACGGGUGAGUAACACGUGAGUAAUCUGCCCCUGGCUUUGGGAUAGCCACCGGAAACGGUGAUUAAUACCGGAUAUGACCACUUUGCGCAUGCGGUGUGGUGGAAAGUUUUUCGGCCAGGGAUGUGCUCGCGGCCUAGCAGCUUGAUGGUGGGGUAAUGGCUCACCAUGGCUUCGACGGGUAGCCGGCCUGGGAGGGUGACCGGUCACACUGGGACUGAGACACGGCCCAGAAUCCUACGGGAGGCAGCAGUGGGGAAUAUUGGACAAUGGGCGGAAGCCUGAUCCAGCAACGCCGCGUGAGGGAUGACGGCCUUCGGGUUGUAAACCUCUUUCAGUACCGACGAAGCGUAAGUGACGGUAGGUACAGAAGAAGCACCGGCCAACUACGUGCCAGCCGCCGCGGUAAGAC
rnacentral:rRNA from 1 species